AUUGAACGCUGGCGGCAGGCCUAACACAUGCAAGUCGAACGAGUGGCGGACGGGUGAGUAAUGUCUGGGAAACUGCCUGAUGGAGGGGGAUAACUACUGGAAACGGUAGCUAAUACCGCAUACCAUCAGAUGUGCCCAGAUGGGAUUAGCUAGGAGGUGGGGUAACGGCCCACCUAGGCGACGAGCCCUAGCUGGUAUGAGAGGAUGACCAGCCACACUGGAACUGAGACACGGUCCAGACUCCUACGGGAGGCAGCAGUGGGGAAUAUUGCACAAUGGGCGCAAGCCGGAUGCAGCCAUGCAGAGUGUAUGAAGAAGGGCUUCGGGUUGUAAAGUACUUUCAGCAGGGAGGGGUUACCCGCAGGAGAAGCACCGGCUAACUCCGUGCCAGCAGCCGCGGUAAUAC
rnacentral:rRNA from 1 species